GCCUGAGGCACCAGAUUCAGGAAGCCAUCCUGAAACCCCUGCUUUGUCUCCUGACAAACAGAUGGGGUGAGGUCACAAGGAAGUGACCCCUGAGCUGCGAGUGGACCCUGAGCUUAGGGCACAGAGGCAGAGGAAGAGCAGGAAGCAGGUGCCCCCAGGGUGGGAAGAGUGGAAGAAGGACUGGCGCUCUUCUGCUGAGUGGGCCAGGAAGUGACCCGGUGGUGGGAAGUGGCUGAAGGUGGUGUGUUCCGGGGUCAGACUGAGUGCAGGGUCGGAAGUGAGCCUAGUAAACAAAACUGAGCUGAUGGAUCGCUCAGGACAAUGUGUGCAGUGGAAGUUUCUAGAAACCCGAAGCUGGCAUGGAGAAACAAUAGACAGGCAGAGACCAGGGACCUAAGUGUGUGUCAUUCAGAAGACUCUCUGGCAAGUGACUUUUGAAGGCUGCGAGGAUCCCAUCAACCUGAUUGUGUCAUAUGGCUUGGCCUCUCCAUCCCAGGAAGGGAAGCCCAGGAUGGAAGACACGCAUGGUAUGGCUGACUUUGAAGUUGCAUUUGGUUAUUCAGGGGGAUCGGGGACCUAAUAAAGGUUUGGGGGGCGCCAUUGGAGGGUAGGGCCUCUAGAAGUUCCUGUGGGUGGUCCGGGACAGCUUCUAGUGAGCUUGGCAAAGUCCGCUCAGGAAGAAGAGUCUGAUUGGUGGGACGAGGGGGUUUUUCUCAAAUGACGUCACUUCCUUGUGGGCUGACCGCCCAUAUGGGAAGCGAGUUGCCAGGUGUGUUGAGGUGAGAAACAGCAGCUGUGGGAUGAGACUCCGAACAUCUCCUACCAUCUGCUGUGUGACCUUGAAUUUGCCACCGUCCCUUCCUCCUCCCCACCCUGGAACCCAUUUCCAAGACUGUGCCAUGAAGGUGGUUGUCACCGAUGGUCUCUGGGAACUUUCCCAAUCUUACCCAUUCAAGGAUCGCAGGAAGGAACAGGACGGCGGGAACUGGACCAGGGUCAUCUGUGAGCUCAGCACGCACCUGCUCCUCCUGGAGACUUCGGAUGAUCUUCCUGACCUUGAACAUAACUCUCAGAACCACACAUCCCAAAGCUCCAGUAGAGGUCAUCUAGAAUGGAGUUCCAACCUGCCACGGUAUCAGCGUUCCCAGCAGCCUCGUGUCCUGCACAUAAGCUGUUAAGUGGCCAUCUGUGCACUGAUAGAAAAGACUGAACAAGACGUACGUGGUCAAGUUCAGGGAAAGCCCGGGCGUCUCCAGGGACCCGCCAGGUGUGUAUGGACUUAGCAUUAGCUCUUCUUUCGAUACAGUCAUUUAGCCAGACAGGGACCUGUGCACAGCAGAAUUCCCAGAGUGUCUGCUGGGACUUGAGGACAUCUACCCUCAUGGACUGAACCAGAACCCCAGUCUUCCAUUGUGAGGCAGCCAUGUAUUGGACUAGCCUCUAAG
rnacentral:lncRNA from 1 species